GGAAGUGUGCCUGAACCUCCAAGGACUACUUUGAUAGAGUAAACUAUAGGGGUUAAACUCCCCUCACUUCCU
rnacentral:tRNA from 1 species